AGAGCUCUAAAAGUCACUCUCUCCUCUAUGUACCCUGAAGAGCAUGUAUUGAAGACGAGAGGCUCUCUCAAGGAACCUGAAACCUGGUUCCUGUAAGAGGGGAGGUGACUACAGGCCUACUGUGCUUUCCUGGCCCUACUAUGUGUUCCUCGGCUUUUCAGACCAUCUUUCCUUUUUUGGAGGGGUGGGAAUCAGGGGAAGGGUCUCUUGCAUUCUGGGAAAGCCUGAGCUGUAUCUCUUGUCCCCAUCUUGAACGUAGAAAGUGUAAAUUAAGAAUGAGCCAUUAUGUGAUAGCACAUCCCUGUAAUGCCAGUACUUGAAAGGGCCGAGGCAGAAGAUCAUGAGGUCUGCCUGAGCUACAUAGCAAGUUCAAAGCUAGCCUGGCCAGCACAGCAAGACCUGUCUCAAAAACUAAAAAAUAAGCAGGCAAAAAAAAAAAAAAAAAAAAAAAAAAAAGGUAAGGGUUGUUUUUAGGAAGUAUAGCAUGGUGCAAUUCUGAAAUUUGAAACAAAUUUGUAAAAACAAGAAUAUUAGGAUCUCAUGUUCACUCCUGGCCACCUAAGCUCAAGACCAGUUUAGCCUACAUGUUUCCCUGCCUCAAACACAAACACACCUGCAGCCAUGCUCACCUGCAGCCAUGCUCACCUGCAGCCAUGCUCACCUGCAUCCACACCUGCAAUUGUAGCUCCAAGGAAGGCAGAGACAGGAGGAUGGCUGGGACUCGCCGCCUUCUACCUUAGCUAAGAAAACAGGAGCCCUGGGUCUGGCCCCUGCCCCCCCCCAAAAAAAAAUAGGUGGAGAGUGAUAACCGAGGAGCCAUGGUGCCCUCUCUGUCCAUCACAAACAUACAGCAUGGUAAUGCACACAGACACAUACAGAUAACAAAGGAAAUAGCUUCAAAAAACUAAUCUAGGGGCAAUACUGACUGCCUCUAAUUCCAGCACUCAGUGGCAGAAGCAGGUAGAUCUCUCUCCAAGAGUUCUAGGCCAUCUGGUCCUACAUAGUGAGUUCCAGGAAAGCCAGGGCCACAUCGAGACCCUAUCUUAAAACAAAGC
rnacentral:lncRNA from 1 species